rnacentral:rRNA from 1 species
GCUCAAAUUUGAAAUCUCUGGGAGUUAUCCUAGCGAAUUGUAGUUUAGAGAAACGUUUUCGGGGGCGGCCUGGGUAUAAGUCUUCUGGAAAGGAGCAUCAUAGAGGGUGAGAAUCCCGUUUAUGAUCCAGUGUUCGCUCCUAUGUGAUACGUUUUCCAAGAGUCAGGUAGUUUGGGAUUGCUGCCUAAAAUGGGUGGUAAAUACCAUCUAAAGCUAAAUAUUGGCGAGAGACCGAUAGCGAACAAGUACCGUGAGGGAAAGAUGAAAAGAACUUUGAAAAGAGAGUUAAACAGUACGUGAAAUUGCCAAAAGGGAAACGUUUGAAACCAGUAUUGCCGGUCUAGCGAUCAGCUGCAGGGCUCGUAAGGGUUAUUGCAGUGCACUCCUGGGCAGGCAGGUCAACAUCAGUUUGGAUCUGGGGAAAAAGCUGGGGGAAGGUAGCUUCGCACUUCGGUGUGUCGUGUUAUAGCCCCUAGUCCUACCUAGGUCUGGACUGAGGUCUGCAGCAUUAUUUGGAUACCCAGUCGCCUUUUGAGGCUCUGUUCUAGACAGCACGCUGACUAGGGUAGUGUCAAGGAAGCUCGGUUGGUUCAUCACACCAAUGCUUAGGAUGUUGACGAAAUGGUUUUAAGCGACCCGUCUUGAAACACGGACCAAGGAGUCUAACAUAUAUGCGAGUAUUUGGGUGGCAAACCCUUAUGCGAAAUGAAAGUGAACUUAGGUGGGAUCUUUAUUGUUGCACCAUCGACCGGUCUGGAUUUUUUUGAUAGAUCUGAGUAAGAGCAUAUCUGUUGGGACCCGAAAGAUGGUGAACUAUGCCUGAAUAGGGUGAAGCCAGAGG